GUCUAUGGCUGUAGCACCCUGAAUGUGCCUGAUCUCGUCUGAUCUUGGAAGCUAAGCAGGGUUGGGCCUGGUUAGUACCUGGAUGGGAAACCAGAGGUGCACUGAGCCUAACUAAAGUCC
ensembl:rRNA 5S_rRNA 5S ribosomal RNA